GAUUAUAAUGAUGUAAUUAUUCCUUUAUUUCUGUUUAGCAACUACUGCAGAGCUCUCCUUGGAGUGCACACAUGCACACACACACACUCUUAGUUUUCUGUGAUUUCUCAGCACGGUGGCUUCCUCUAGUUUCUCGACUCUAGAACAAGUGACUCCAGCUACUGCUCUACAUGGUGUGCCUCAGAAUCAUCUGCAUUUUUUUACCAGUAAAAAAUACAAGUUACAUUUUCUCAUAAUUCCCAACAGAAAGCUUUAUAAAUAAGGAGGAUGGCGAACUGGAAGUAACUGAUGCAAUGACCUAAACUCAGCGUGGGGAGCAGGUAGCUGUUCAUGAGAUGUGCUGCCAAAACACUCCUGUGCCAACAAGCAUACGCAUGGCUGGAGACAGAGAGAGACCCAACGCACAUCUGCAAACCUGCUCUGGAUCCAGAGAGCCAGGACGGCUUUUUUUGCGCCGCUGCCACUUCAUCUUGUUUGUUCUUUAAGAGCCAAGCGACCGACCACCUCCAGCCUGGGCUGUCCCAGAAUUACCAAUGCCUUAACAACAUUCAGGACAGCAACUGUUUUAGGUGAUACAUCCCUGUGUGAAGAACUGCUAAGCACAAAGCUGCUUCGUGCUUUCAAGACCUAAAAAUAGAGAGUGAUGCGCAGAGACAAACAGUGCAAGUUUACCAAGUUCUGCUGUCCUAGAAACACAAACAGCUGAAAAUUUCCUGACCUACCCAGAAGACCAGGGACCUCAUUAAGCCUACCUGAGCAGUGACAUCUCCGCAGGGCUCCGGAUCAAUGGACGCUGCCAUCUGAAGAUUCUAAUCACAUUAACACCGCAGCAGAAUAAAACCCACCUGAUUCUCCCUACACUUCUGCCAAUUGCUGCAACUACUCCUUGGAAGGCUUAUUUAUACGUGUGGGUAAAAAUCAAUCUACCACAGCCACCGUCCUCCCAUCCCUCCUCACGAGAGCCUGAAUUCCCUCUCCAGGAAAUGCAGUGUGAUCCCCCGGAGCUGCCCUCCUGAUGACUGCGAUUAGCCAUAUUCAGACAAUCCCGGGGAGCAGGGGACAAAAAUAAUCAAUAAAACGCAGCUCCGUGGAAGGACCGGCACCACCCGGGGAAGAGGAGCAGAACAAUCAACGCCGGAUCUCUGCAAGGGGUCUCUGCAGCAGAGGAGCUGGUAACUGGUGGAGGUGAGAAGGGUUACACUCACACAGAGCACUCAGCGGCCGUACGAGGCUGCUGGGUUCUGGUGGAGACAAACAAGGAGCAAUGGUCAGGCUGAAGGGCAGCUGCUCUCAAUCAUCACCCGUGGAACACGAGAGAACAGCAUUAAGUUGCCCACGGGGACACCCCUGUAGCCCUGCACUGCUGAAAAACAUUUAACUGGGUUUGUUGGUUUUUUUUCAACAAAUGAAAAAUAGUUUUUCAGCUCUACCCACGCAUCCCUGCAUCUCACCUGGCUUCCAAAGAGUCAGUCACAAGCUAAUCAAUAGUAAUUACCUAUCAUCCGGGCUUGUCCUCCUCAGUGUGCUCUUACCUGACGCUGCUCCCUGAUUAUCUGGCACAUGGAGGGUAGGAACUUUCAGGAACAAUAUUUAUUGAUGAAAGCUGUUAUUUCUUGAGCAAUAACUCACUCUUCCAUCACUAAAGAGUAAUUGGACUUUCCGCUGCAGCUGAAGAUCCCUGGCACCCUGUGAAGACUGUCUACUCAGUGAGAUAUUUUUUCUGUCAAGAAACACUUACUAGUUUUUAGAUCUUUACCCCAGCAAGUUUGGACUGAGCUAAAUUACUAAAAAGAAAAAAAAACAAACCAAACCAACAAUUUUCAACUUAAGCCCUGUGUUUGGUGCAAAAUCUCGUAAGAAUUAAGGAAUCCAUCUAAGGAUUCCUAAAGUAACCCAUGAGGAUUCAUAAGCACAGUGUAACUCUUAAGCAAUCCUUAAUGACUGCUUCAGGGGCAUUUGCACCUGUUCCUGUGUCAUUAAUGAAAUUAUUCUCAGCAUCCAACAUUAUCUCAAGAAAAUUUUAGAAUAACUGUAAUUUUGCAGUGAUUUAAAUGAUAAUCCCCCAAAAAUGCCGUAUCUAUUUCUGCAGGAUAAGUUAAUGAUACUUACAGGAUCAAAUGUAUCAAGUUCAUGGAGUAACUGUCACGUAUAGCAUUGAAAUGUAUGUAUCAGGAGCUUGAAAUUAUCCUAAGCAAAUAAAGCCAAAAAGUAAUAAAGUAAAAGAUUUAGCAGAGAA